rnacentral:lncRNA from 1 species
AAGGGGGCUGUUUGCAGAUAACCACAGCCUGCCUCUGCACCGGGUCCUGGCUGUCCCUUCCAGACGGACCUGUCUCUUCCACUCUGAGCCUCUCUGAGCAGAGGUCCCACAGGGUGUUAGUGACCAGAGAUGCUGCCGGUUGAGCUCAAAUGUCACCUCCUCCAAGAAGACUUCUCAGACUACCACCAAAGAGGCCACCAUAUUAUUCUGUCUCCUGAUCCUGUGUAGUUCCUUCAACCCUCUUGUCCCAGUUGAUCUGUUUCAUUGGGGUGUCUUCUUCACCCCAAGGCAUAAGUUUCAUGAAAGAAAAGAAUGUUGUUUGAGUCACUGCUGUAUCCUCAGAGCCUCAGACAGGGCUGGACACAUUAGAUGCCACAUAAAUGUUUGCUACAUGGAUGAAUGAGUAGAAUAGACAGAUGGACAGGUGGGAGGGUGCAAGGAUGUUAGCUCAGGUGGUCAAACUCUCUAGAAAAAUAA